AUUAAUGUCACGUGAGCAUGCGCAAAGAGAGGUCUAUUCACUCAUAAGGUAACUGACUGCAUCUCAGUGAUUUGUCUUGUCAAAGCUCAAGUGGCCUACAAUAUUCACAUACAGAUCUUUAAAUUAAAAUGGCGGCCAUGAAACACUUGUGUCUUACAGCUUUUGUCUUGCUGGUAACUAUUGGGCUAACUUCAGGAGACUGCGCUUCUAAAAUAACACAUGCUACAUCACAUUCCUGCAAGAUGGUGUGACGCACGCCUCCAAUCCAAACCUCAUGUGCAAUGACAUCCAAGCUUUAGUCGGUUGUGUAUUUCAACAAAAUUGCGGCUUCACAGCAGAAAUGGAGACACAAUUAAUGGAGCAGAUGAAUUCACAGAUGCGUCAGUAUGAACUGAAGUGCCCAUUUACUGCAGCCGACCUCAUCCACAAGCACAAAAAUGGCGCCACAAGUAUCAGCACACUGCCAUCAGCUUGGAUUCUGUUCGCCUUGGUCACGGUGUCGAUCUUGGUCAAGAUAUUUUGAAUGCCAGACAUUUCUCUUUAUUAAUGUGUUCCUUUCUGAAACAUUUUCUUUUGUCAAAUUAAUACCAACUUUUGCUGUUUCUAACCUAUACAAUAUUAUUUUUAAUUUCAAAUUAAAAAUAUAAAUUCUGCACACUAAAUUUUUACAAUGACAUACUUGAACAAUUAAAAUCAGAACCAGCAAACACUUAAAACUCUGACACGUCUUAUAAUUUGAAGGUCCAUUAAUUAAAAAAAAUACAUUUAUAUUUCCAAAGAUUCAUUGAUAUUUAUGGCUGUUUUUUUCUUUAAAAAUAAAAUCUUCGGCCAUUAAAUCAGAAACAUUAAUAUUUAAGGGCUAUGCGUUUAAUUCGUAACAUGUUUUGAAUUACAUAUUGUAUUUGUUUAU